rnacentral:rRNA from 1 species
AUUGAACGCUGGCGGCAGGCUUAACACAUGCAAGUCGAACGAGUGGCGGACGGGUGAGUAAUGCUUGGGAAUCUAGCUUAUGGAGGGGGAUAACUACGGGAAACUGUAGCUAAUACCGCGUACCAUAGGAUGAGCCCAAUUGGGAUUAGGUAGUUGGUGGGGUAAAGGCUCACCAAGCCGACGAUCUCUAACUUGUCUGCGAGGAUGACCAGCCACACUGGAACUGAUACACGGCCCAGACCCCUCCGGGAGGGCGCAUUGGGGAAUAUUGCGCAAUGGGGGCAACCUGACGCAGCAAAGCCGCUUGAAUGAAGAAGGCCUUCGGGUUGUAAAGUUCUUUCGUUAGAGAGGCGUUAACUACAGAAGAAGCACCGGCUAACUCCGUGCCAGCAGCCGCGGUAAUAC